rnacentral:tRNA from 1 species
GGACCUGUGGCUGAGUGGUUGAAAGCGCUCCCCUGCUAAGGGAGUAUACCGGAAACGGUAUCGAGGGUUCGAAUCCCUCCGGGUCCG